AGCUUCCCGCGGGCGGCGUGCGCAGGCGUCGGCGCGCUCGCUGUGCGUCAGAGCGCAGGCUACGCCCAUCGGGGCGCGCCACGUCCAGCGCGCCCUCGGCUGGAGACUUGCGGACGCUCUCCAAGGAGCGCGGCUCCGAGGUGUAUUGAAAACGAGCUGCGAUGGAGUGGCAACCUGAAAACAGGGCUUGGUCUGAGAACCUAUGCUUCCUCACCGAGAGAGUUCACUAGAGGCUCUUGCCUGGCAACAGCAAAGCAGUUCAGAUUAUACCAUCUGUGGGGAUCCAGACAAACAACUGCUCAGAAGCACACUGAUGUCGUCACAAAGUGUUCACUCUGGAGUUUUGGGGUAUGGGCCAAUCCGUCAAGGUUCUGCCAUGCUCCGCCUGACCCUUCGAAACUUCAGAGUGGUCAGACGAGUAGGUUUGGAUUAGUCCAGUUUUAGAAGUCUUGGCACCCACUCCACCCAUCCUAGUGGAAGAUGUUCCAGACCACAGCUGCAGAAAAGAGGAACUGAGAGUCCAUGUGAGGGAAGCAAGGCUAUCUGAAAGAGAACAAAGGAAGGCAGGGAGGACGAGGACGGCACACUGUAAUCUAUCUCAGACUUUCAUUUCAACAACGGGGAGGAAUUUUGUUAAGGGGUAUUAAUUGCUACUCAGUGAAUUAGAGAAAAAAAUCAUAUUUGCCAAGUUCAGUGAAUCUUUUUUCUCCUCCUUUGGUUUAUGGUAUACUCUCUGCAGAGACAGUCUGAAUAUCAUUAUUUUAUGCAGGAGUGGGGUAUCUACAUAAUGAAACCUUCUUACCUUGUGCUCCAUACAGUUGUAUAAUUUAUAUGUCAAUAAAAACAAAAGGAAGGAAAGGAAAAUA